rnacentral:rRNA from 1 species
AUUGAACGCUGGCGGCAUGCCUUACACAUGCAAGUCGAACGGCAGCGGACCUUCGGGUGCCGGCGAGUGGCGAACGGGUGGGUAAUAUAUCGGAACGUACCUUUCAGUGGGGGAUAACGUAGCGAAAGUUACGCUAAUACCGCAUAUUCUGUGAGCAGGAAAGCAGGGGAUCGCAAGACCUUGCGCUGAUUGAGCGGCCGAUAUCAGAUUAGCUAGUUGGUGAGGUAAAGGCUCACCAAGGCGACGAUCUGUAGCGGGUCUGAGAGGAUGAUCCGCCACACUGGAACUGAGACACGGUCCAGACUCCUACGGGAGGCAGCAGUGGGGAAUUUUGGACAAUGGGCGCAAGCCUGAUCCAGCCAUGCCGCGUGAGUGAAGAAGGCCU